UACGUAGGGUGCAAGCGUUAAUCGGAAUUACUGAGCGUAAAGCGUGCGCAGGCGGUUGUGUAAGACAGAUGUGAAAUCCCCGGGCUCAACCUGGGAACUGCAUUUGUGACUGCACGGCUCGAGUGCGGCAGAGGGGGAUGGAAUUCCGCGUGUAGCAGUGAAAUGCGUAGAUAUGCGGAGGAACACCGAUGGCGAAGGCAAUCCCCUGGGCCUGCACUGACGCUCAUGCACGAAAGCGUGGGGAGCAAACAGG
rnacentral:rRNA from 1 species